UCGGCCCGGCUGAUAACCCACUCCGAAUCGGUCUUUCUUGGCGGUGAUGUCCAUCAUCUUCCCCCAACCUGGAGCUUCUCCACUCUUCACUACCUCAGCGGCCUGCUUGUAAGAAGAAAUGGACGGCUUCUCCUCUUCUUUGACAAAAGUGGCAUUCUCCACCUUGACGGUUUCGAAUGCUUGACUCGGGGUUUCCCAUAUCUCACCGUCCAUUUCCACGUAUUUGAACGAUGAUAGGUGGUUGACAAAGAUGUCCUCC
rnacentral:lncRNA from 1 species